CAGUCGCCACGGUAAUACAGAGGGUGCGAGCGUUAAUCGGAUUUACUGGGCGUAAAGCGUGCGUAGGCGGCUUCUUAAGUCGGAUGUGAAAUCCCUGAGCUUAACUUAGGAAUUGCAUUCGAUACUGGGAAGCUAGAGUAUGGGAGAGGAUGGUAGAAUUCCAGGUGUAGCGGUGAAAUGCGUAGAGAUCUGGAGGAAUACCGAUGGCGAAGGCAGCCAUCUGGCCUAAUACUGACGCUGAGGUUCGAAAGCAUGGGGAGCAAACAGGAUUAGAUACCCCAGUAGUCCCUGUCUCUUAUAC
rnacentral:rRNA from 1 species